GGCUCAGGACGAACGCUGGCGGCGUGCCUAAUACAUGCAAGUCGAGCGGACAGAUGGGAGCUUGCUCCCUGAUGUUAGCGGCGGACGGGUGAGUAACACGUGGGUAACCUGCCUGUAAGACUGGGAUAACUCCGGGAAACCGGGGCUAAUACCGGAUGCUUGAUUGAACCGCAUGGUUCAAUUAUAAAAGGUGGCUUUUAGCUACCACUUACAGAUGGACCCGCGGCGCAUUAGCUAGUUGGUGAGGUAACGGCUCACCAAGGCAACGAUGCGUAGCCGACCUGAGAGGGUGAUCGGCCACACUGGGACUGAGACACGGCCCAGACUCCUACGGGAGGCAGCAGUAGGGAAUCUUCCGCAAUGGACGAAAGUCUGACGGAGCAACGCCGCGUGAGUGAUGAAGGUUUUCGGAUCGUAAAACUCUGUUGUUAGGGAAGAACAAGUACCGUUCGAAUAGGGCGGUACCUUGACGGUACCUAACCAGAAAGCCACGGCUAACUACGUGCCAGCAGCCGCGGUAAUACGUAGGUGGCAAGCGUUGUCCGGAAUUAUUGGGCGUAAAGCGCGCGCAGGCGGUUUCUUAAGUCUGAUGUGAAAGCCCCCGGCUCAACCGGGGAGGGUCAUUGGAAACUGGGGAACUUGAGUGCAGAAGAGGAGAGUGGAAUUCCACGUGUAGCGGUGAAAUGCGUAGAGAUGUGGAGGAACACCAGUGGCGAAGGCGACUCUCUGGUCUGUAACUGACGCUGAGCGCG
rnacentral:rRNA from 1 species